CCUACGGUGUGCUGCAGUGGGGAAUAUUGGGCAAUGGGCGCAAGCCUGACCCAGCAACGCCGCGUGAAGGAAGAAGGCUUUCGGGUUGUAAACUUCUUUUCUCAGGGACGAAGAAAGUGACGGUACCUGAGGAAUAAGCCACGGCUGACUACGUGCCAGCAGCCGCGGUAAUACGUAGGUGGCAAGCGUUAUCCGGAUUUACUGGGUGGAAAGGGCGUGUAGGCGGGACUGCAAGUCAGAUGUGAAAACCACGGGCUCAACCUGUGGCCUGCAUUUGAAACUGUAGUUCUUGAGUACUGGAGAGGCAGACGGAAUUCCUAGUGUAGCGGUGAAAUGCGUAGAUAUUAGGAGGAACACCAGUGGCGAAGGCGGUCUGCUGGACAGCAACUGACGCUGAGGCGCGAAAGCGUGGGGAGCAAACAGGAUUAGAUACCCGUGUAGUC
rnacentral:rRNA from 1 species